rnacentral:rRNA from 1 species
AAUGAACGCUGGCGGCAGGCCUAAAACAUGCAAGUCGUGCGCCCCGCAAGGGGAGCGGCGGACGGGUGAGUAACACGUAGGAAUGUGUCCGGAGGUGGGGGAUAACCCUGGGAAACUAGGGCUAAUACCGCAUAUGGGCUGAGGCCCAAAGCAGUGAUGCGCCAUCGGAGUAGCCUGCGCCUGAUUAGCUAGUUGGUGGGGUAAAGGCCUACCAAGGCGACGAUCAGUAGCUGGUCUGAGAGGACGACCAGCCACACUGGGACUGAGACACGGCCCAGACUCCUACGGGAGGCAGCAGUGGGGAAUAUUGGACAAUGGGCGCAAGCCUGAUCCAGCAAUGCCGCGUGUGUGAAGAAGGUCCUCGGAUCGUAAAGCACUUUCGACGGGGACGAUGAUGACGGUACCCGUAGAAGAAGCCCCGGCUAACUUCGUGCCAGCAGCCGCCGUAACAC